rnacentral:rRNA from 1 species
CCUACGGGAGGCAGCAGUGAGGAAUUUUGCGCAAUGGGGGAAACCCUGACGCAGCAAUGCCGCGUGAGUGAAGAAGGCCUUCGGGUCGUAAAGCUCUGUCAGAUGGGAAGAAGUUAUUAAUUAUUAAUAGUGGUUAGUAUUGACGGUACCAUCAAAGGAAGCACCGGCUAACUCCGUGCCAGCAGCCGCGGUAAU